UCCUGGCUUAGGAUGAACGCUAGCUACAGGCUUAACACAUGCAAGUACGAGGGGUAACAUGAUUGGAGCUUGCUCCGAUUGAUGACGACCGGCGCACGGGUGAGUAACGCGUAUCCAACCUGCCCCAUGCUCAGGGAUAACCUUCCGAAAGGGAGCCUAAUACCUGAUGUUGUGCGACGAUGGCAUCAGAAUUGCACGAAAGAUUCAUCGGCAUGGGAUGGGGGAUGCGUCUGAUUAGCUUGCCGGCGGGGUAACGGCCCACCGGGGCUACGAUCAGUAGGGGUUCUGAGAGGAAGGUCCCCCCACACUGGUACUGAGACACGGACCAGACUCCUACGGGAGGCAGCAGUGAGGAAUAUUGGUCAAUGGGCGGGAGCCUGAACCAGCCAAGUAGCGUGCAGGAAGACGGCCCUACGGGUUGUAAACUGCUUUUAUGAGGGGAUAAAGUGGGCUACGUGUAGCUUAUUGCAGGUACCUCAUGAAUAAGGACCGGCUAAUUCCGUGCCAGCCGCGGC
rnacentral:rRNA from 1 species